rnacentral:rRNA from 1 species
UACGUAGGGUGCAGGCGUUAAUCGGAAUUACUGGGCGUAAAGGGCUCGUAGGCGGCCAACUAAGUCAGACGUGAAAUCCCUCGGCUCAACCGGGGAACUGCGUCCGAUACUGGCGAGGCUUGAAUCCGGGAGAGGGAUGUGGAAUUCCAGGUGUAGCGGUGAAAUGCGCAGAUAUCAGGAGGAACACCGGUGGCGAAGGCGGCAUCCUGGACCAAUUCUGACGCUGAGGAGCGAAAGCCAGGGGAGCAAACGGG